rnacentral:rRNA from 1 species
UGCUGCAUGGCUGUCGUCAGCUCGUGUCGUGAGAUGUCCGGUUAAGUCCGGUAACGAGCGCAACCUCGCUGUAUGUUAUACGUGUCAUACGGGACUGCCCGGUAUCAAGCCGGAGGAAGGUGGGAUGACGUCAAGUCAGCAUGGCCUUUAUGUCUGGGGCUACACACACGCUACAAUGGCCAGUACAAUAGGUUGCAAGACCGCGAGGUGGAGCCAAUCCUUAAAGCUGGUCUCAGUUCGGAUUGCAGGCUGCAACUCGCCUGCAUGAAGUCGGAGUUGCUAGUAACCGCGCGUCAGCUAUAGUCGCGGUUCCGAAUACGUUCCGGCCUU